rnacentral:misc_RNA from 1 species
CUCAUUUCUCAUUGUUACUAAGCUAUGUGACUGGAAUUUAUUGAAAUACUGUUGCACUAGAAAGAUAUGAGAUGCAUAUGAUAGACAUGUAAUGCAAACCAAAACAUGGCUUGUCACAGUUUGGGAUAUUAUUGGAUUUUAAGCACUGUAAUUUGUGUCAAAUUACUUAUAUCUGUUUGUAGCUUUUAGUUGUAAGAUAGUGUUGGGAGCAUUGAUGAAUUGAGUUGCAGUUAUGUGUGUGGAGCAUUGAUGGAUG